rnacentral:rRNA from 1 species
AGACGUAGGUGGCAAGCGUUGGAAGGAUUUAGGGGGAGUAAAGAGAGCGCAGGCGGUUUCUUAAGUCUGAUGUGAAAGCCCCCGGCUCAACCGGGGAGGGUCAUUGGAAACUGGGAAACUUGAGUGCAGAAGAGGAGAGUGGAAUUCCAUGUGUAGCGGUGAAAUGCGUAGAUAUAUGGAGGAACACCAGUGGCGAAGGCGGCUCUCUGGUCUGUAACUGACGCUGAGGCUCGAAAGCGUGGGGAGCAAACAGGAUUAGAUACCCUGGUAGUCCACGCCGUAAACGAUGAGUGCUAAGUGUUGGAGGGUUUCCGCCCUUCAGUGCUGCAGCUAACGCAUUAAGCACUCCGCCUGGGGAGUACGACCGCAAGGUUGAA